UACGUAGGUGACAAGCGUUGUCCGGAUUUACUGGGCGUAAAGAGCGCGCAGGCGGUCGUUCAAGUCAAGUGUGAAAGCCCCCGGCUCAACUGGGGAGGGUCAUUCGAUACUGAUCGACUCGAAGGCAGGAGAGGGAAGUGGAAUUCCCGGUGUAGUGGUGAAAUGCGUAGAUAUCGGGAGGAACACCAGUGGCGAAGGCGACUUCCUGGCCUGUUCUUGACGCUGAGGCGCGAAAGCUAGGGGAGCAAACGGG
rnacentral:rRNA from 1 species